AUGUGUGUUCCUCUGCUCAAAUCUUAUGUUGAAUUGUAAUCCCCAGUGUUGGAGGUGGGGCCUGGUGGGAGGUGAUUGGAUCAUGGGGGUGGGUUUUUUAUGAAUUAUUUAGCACCAUCCUCCUGGUGCUGUCCUUCAGUAGUGAGUGAAUCCUCAAGUGACGUGAUUGUUUAGGUGUGUGGUACCUCUGCCUUCCCUCUCUUGCUCCUUUUCUGACCAUAUGACAUGCCUGCUCCCUCUUCACCUUCUUCCAUGAUUGUAAGUUUCCUGAGGAUUCCCCAGAAUCCGAGCAGAUGCCAGUGUCAUGCUUCCUGUAUAACCUGCAGAACUGCAAGCCAAUUAAACCUCUUUUCUUUAUAAAUUACGCAGUCUCAGGUAUUUUCUUUAUAGCAAUGCGAGAACAGCCUAACACCCUCCACCAGAUCACUCAUAAAAAACCUUGGAUAAUCGCUUAUAAGUAUACAUAACAUGAGGUUUAUCAUUACUGCUUUUUUUAAGUAUGGAAUUCAGUGACAUUAAAUACAUUCACAAUAUUCUGUGGCCAUAAACACUUUCUAUAGCAAGCCAAUUUCAGUGAAGGCUUUCCUCUGAUGAAUGUGGUCUGAGGGGACUAGAGGUAAUUUUGUAAAAUCUAAGAUGGAAAGUGAGCCAUUAUCAGGGAAGGUGCCUGGCAUGAAAAGGCACGUUUUCAUGCCUUCUUGUAGCAGGCAACAUAUGCCAUUUACAGAAUCUAACCCCUUUUGUUACCACUGUGGCUUAUCAACAUGUAGCUGUUGUUUGUGUUGAAAAGUAGACUGCCCCCAGGUAGAACCCUUUAGUUCAGGUGUGGCCAGUUAAUGUAGCACUGAGGACCCUAUCCAGGCCUCAUUAGUUGCCUCAUAAAUAGCUUUCCAGUGCAAAGUUAGAAAGUUAAGUAAAUUACUAACAAAUCAACUAGAAUCCGGUGAAACUCCAAUAAACACUGGAAUUGUCUCGCUAAGUAAAAAAUUAUUUACUUAAUUAUUUACUUUGCUAAUGUGUUAUCUGUAUCUACAUUCUAAUCAUAUUCAUCACACUUACACAUCAUUUAAAAAGAGAACCCUUCUCUGGCCCUCACUUUGUCACAAUUCAGUCAGCACUGACUUUGCAUAAGACCCCCAACCACCAACGUUCCCAGGCAGGGGAGAAGUUGCCUCCACUGAAAAUAACCUAACACAGCACCCUUGAUAACAGUCACACAAUUGAUUCUAUUGUUCCUCAUCUUCUGGAAUUUUAAAAGCUAAGUGACAUAGAUCCCUGCCAUUAAUAAUGUCCUCAUGAUUAUUACGGUUGUUCACAUUUCCUGACCACAUCAGGCAACUUAUCUGCUUAGGAAGAAGAUUUUAUAAUCUGUCAGUUUUCAUGCAAGUAUUUUAAACAGAGAAACCAGGCCUGGUGUGAGAGCGGGGAAGACAGUCUUGGAGAACCUGGAUCCAAUGCCGUCUAAAUAAGGUGAGAGAGAAAGCAAAGAGUUACACAAAAAGCCUAAAAAGUUUUCAACAAUCGUGUCUUGGUUGACAAAUGAGAUAAAAUCUAAGUUGGUGGUCAGCCAUACGAUCUCCAGCAGCCCUGGAAGGGUAUGAGUUCUCAGCGUGUCAUACGGGACCUCUGAAUGUACAGAGGUGCUGAGGAGGGAGUCUACGCUGGUGUAUGGUGCAGUCCGGAGGGUGGUAACUGACCUGUGACGCUGAGCUGAAGCUGGGCUCUAACCUAAGGAUUAAACAGAGCCCUUCCCCUGGGGAACCACCUGCCUCCUGCCAUUGAGAUGCAACAAUUACACUUCUCCUUGGAGCUCACUGUUUGAUGACAGUGUCAUCGCUCAGCCUUCUAGUCCCAUGUCUUCCUGUGCUGAGAAACAGCUAUAGAAUGGAAUUGGCAAUUGUAGGGAGCCUUGAAAUGUGAAUCUUUUCUGUCUUUUUACUGUUUUUCAUUCACAUGGUGAGUAGCUGGUAAACAAAAUCACAGAGAGCUUAAGUCACAGAUGAACUUAAUUUCUGGUGCUAGUCUCCCCAAAUUACUUGUCUUCUCUAGGCUUUCACUCAGAAAGGUACAGAAUUACGACUUGAUGAGUUACUAUGGCAACCCCUAUAUGUCAUCUUCUAAAUGUCCCAGACCUACAGAGCCUAAUUUGAUUGUAGGGAUUUUAAUUAAUGACUUCUAUGUUUUGUAUAAUACUAUGUUUUUAAAGUUAAUGAAUUGUAAACAGAAAAAGGUAGGUAAAUUGGUUUUGAUUAAAAGAUAGCUUAUUUAGCAAUACGGCUUCAAUUUAUGUUGCUCAAACAACAGAACAUUAUUUCAACCUAUUUCAAAUCUAUACCACUGAGAGACUGGUACUCACUUCUGCAAUAGGCUGUGAUCCUGGGAACAUGGGAUGGGAACCUCAUUAUUAGUAGAAUCUGGUAGAGUUGGCCUUGUUACAUUGGGGUCUGAGGCUGGCUCUUUCUGGUUGUCUCAGGAUGCCAUCAAUGAUUAGUAAAUAAUAAAUUAUACCAAGGAAGAAGCUCAUUUGAAUGUUUAGUAUGCCUUGCAAGGGAAAUUAGGGACAAUGCAUAGAACUCUUCUAUUCUCUUUGCACUUGAUUUGCAAAAAAUUUGCUUGUUAAAUGAGUUAUUACAUGGACAGCAUUUCGAACAGUAACCACUUUGUAACCAAUCAAUGAGUUUCACCAUCAUUGUUUGCAUUUUUACGAUGAUUCCCAAUACAGAAGGAAGGCUUCAGCAUCGUGGGCCCCUCAGCAUGCUGAGCUUCCGUGACCCACGUCACACUGUUUAGCAUACUCUUGACUACCUCUGCUGUGUGCCCUGGAUUCAAGUGUUCCACAUGCCCUCUCACCAUUACAUUUGGAUGAUUUUAAAGAGAUUUCUGUUUCAAAUAAAUGCAGGAAGAAGAAUUUCACAGCAUCUUGGGUUGCAAUCUUACUUGGUGGUUAAGGUGAAUAUAACUUAGAUUAUGUGUAUCAUCAUGAGGGGAAUCUUCACUAACCUACAGAAGCAAUAAAGAAGUUGCCUCACACUGUCUUGAGCUUCUCACGUGUAUUUCUGGUGCUCUCCAGAGCCACUGGCAUCUGUUUAAAUACCUUUCACCCAAAAAUGGUUUGGAAUGGACACGCACAUUAUGGACAGUGUAGAUGGCAUAGUAGGAAGGGCUUUUUAUUGAAAGAUCAGGCGAUUCUGUGAGGGAAAUUAGAGUCUGGAAGAAGUAAAAGUUGAAACAACCAACAAUAGCAAUCCACUUAGCUGUCCUCCUGCAGCCUAAAUAGGAAGAACCAACUAAAUACAGAUACCUAUGACACCUGUUUUCCUGGGCUAUGUCCCACCAUCCGUCUCUGCUCACUGGCUCCUAGCACCUCCCCUACCCUUGAUGCCUCACAAACAGCCUCGUCCCUUCCCUCAGGAAGCUCCACGCCUCUCCCAGAGAAGAGAAGAGUAUCCUCAUCACUUUCCUCUGCCUUGCAAUUUGAGUAAUGCCUCAGCACUUCAACCAGUCUGCGGAUAUUUUCCUCUUCUUGAGUGUGGUAAACUCUGGAGGAAGAUAAUGAUGGGUCCAAAGAAUUUGAUAAAUUGGGGCACCCCAAUUUCAGACCAUUCUCCACUCCUAAGAAUGCUGCAGUUGAGGUGCCAAACGCUGGAUGGCCUCACCAGCCUCUUGGAAAAGGAGGGGAAUGCCACUGCCUUCUUUCUGUGUCCAAGCAAGUUAUGAUUGGAAUGGAAAACGUAGCCACCCAGGGCUGUCAGUACUGCUGCCUCCUCAAUCGCAGACAUGUUGAUACAGAACAUGAUCAUCGAAUUCCAGUGAAGCCACAGUGCAUGGCAGUGCAGCAAGAGUGAAAGCAAGUAGAAGUUGGAGAACUUGUCGGGAAGGAGAUGAAGAAUGAAGCGGUGAUCUUUAAAAUGUUAUCUCACACCAGUUACAGAGAAUAAAUGAGCAGCCUCCAAUCCUUUUUAGGCAGCCUCCAGUCCUUUCAAAAUAUGGAAUAAAUGAAAUACAACUUAAGCAAUCUUCCUAGGUACACUUUUCAAUA